AGACGAAUCUGCAAAACAUAUGGACCCACAUUACCACGUAAAAAUUUCAGUCUAUCGAAAGAGAAACGUACGGGAUCCCUCUCUUGCCGACAAUUUUCCACAAAUCGACUCGUGCAUCGAAAAUUUUCGAAAGCGCAACCCGCGCGCGUUCCGAUCUUCUCUAUGCUGUAUGCCCCAUUCGACGAGAAUCGUAAAUGACGUCGGCUGGUCGUUAACGCUCUUUCGACAUAUGCACGCGGAAAAUAAAUGAUCCACGGAAUUUUCGUUUUCGUCAAUCAGCAUUUUUCGAUCGAGAAACAAGGCAACACGCGCGUCGAUUUUGCAACAGUGGAUAUAAAAGUCUCGCGCGAUUGUUUUUGCCAUCGAUUUCUCGUCCCGUCGCGCGCUACAGUGUGCCGCUCUCUGACGGGGAAAAAAACGGCGAGACAACGGUAUACGAAUCGGUCGAACUGGCGAUUUGUAAUCAUCGCGACGAAGCGAACGGAAACGAGUAAAGGGCGAAGCGAUCUAGACAUUUUCACGGUCCUAUCGACAUUGGCACCGGGCGAAACGAACGCGCCCUUAAAUUGAUUCAAUCGAUCGAAACAACUUCCAGCAAGCGGAAAGACGAAAAUCUUCUGCUUUUGUAACGAAUUUGUGAAAAUGUCGAGCAAGAACUAUAACUUGAACCUUGUGAUGUCUGAAAUGAAAAUUUUAUUCCCGCACACUUGCGGCGGAAACGAUUUAGCGCGCGUUCGAUUGAAGGACGCAGGACUCGAGGAACGUAUGUACGAGCGUACGUCGCAAGGACAUUGAUGUUUUCGUAUGACCACUACGUUCGAGUAACGGAGUAUUAAUAACGCGGCGAUGGUUUUUUCGUAAAUUACAAAAAUAGCCCCCCACCUCGAGUUCCGGGAACCGCAUUUUUUUCGGAAUCUCUGAUCUCGAAAGAAGUAAAACGAUCGUUCAGUCCGAUUAUCGCGAAAAUAGACCACGUCCAUUAGAAAUUUCGGCGUCUAGAUUAGAAGAUAAUUCGCUUUGCAUCCGAGCCAAGUGAAACCAGAUCUUUUUACGUCAGUCGGAAGCCGCCGCGUCUAAAGAUACAGCCGCGCUUUUUCUCGUAUAGUACGAAAUUCGAUCUCGAGCCGCACGCGGCGAGAACUCGCGCGCGAUCGAUAAUUAUUGAAGACAAGUGCGGCGAAGAGUCUCCUCCAUCGAGGAGAGAAGAAAAAUAAAUGAGUAAAAGGAAUGUUGGCCCAGUGGAAAACGAAUCACGCCCGAUGAUUCGAGCGUGGCAAAGGCGAAACGUUCCGUUCCCAUUAGAGACUUGCCUGUUCUAAUCGCGUACUUGGCGACGCUGUGACGUCAUUGGCCGUUAAAGGACAGCAGCUCUCUCGCUCGGCUGGGACUCUAAUUUUCUAAUCGGAAUGUGAAAAUCCAACUCGUCUACGAUAUACUCGUAUGGCUCACGGGUUUUGUGUGUGUAUGUGUGUGUGUGUGCGCGCGCACGCGCGCACGCUGUGCUGUGCUGGAGGCGCAACGUCGCCGGUCUCGAAGCGAAUUGGGUCCACGGCACCGACCCAGAGGAGGGUACAAUAAAGAGAGCCAGCGACCGUCACGACGGUGUACGCCUCUUCCCCGAUCCCACUUCCAGCCACACCGUGCUGCUGCACCCCACUCUAACCGUCGCGCUUCUGCACCCUACUUUAAAAAUCCCUCAACGGUUUCGCGGCAAGUGCCUUCGAAAAUGGACAAAGAGAAAGAGAGGUUCCGGGGAGCCUGCAGGCACCCGUUUUUCGUACGAAAAUUCACGCGCUCCUGUCUGACCCGAAAAACGCAAUAAAUAGCGUUCGGCCCGUUAUUCUCCUUUCUCGAUCGGAUCUCGCCGUGUAUACACGCCAUCCGCUUUCCGAGAAAAAUUACACUGUUCUUCCGCUACCUGUGCAAGAGAAAAUUAUUCGAGAGUUAACCGUAGAGAAAAAAAUUAUCCGUUGCACCGACACGAGCAAGCAUUUAUAAAAGACACGGACGGCAAAUUGCUUCUCGAUUCUUCCCUGAAGUUGGAAAAAUAGCUUGUUCUUUUCGUUUCGAAUUUUCUAUGCGUCGUGCUUUCCCGUCGUUUUCAAUGCCAGAUUGACUACUUUUCCCCGCGGAACGCGCGACGUGCGUGUAAUACGAUCGGCGGAGGAAAGCGGCGCGGCGCGGAGGACUCGAAUUGCGACUCGCGGAUUCGAAAGUCGACGGGGCGAUUAUACGAGAAAAAAAAAAGAUAGCCGUGUCCGGCUGGAUAUUGAAAUUAAAACCGUCACUGUUUCGGCACCGUAGUCGUUCGGCUACGCGCUUCGGUUCGGGCGAGUCACGCGGCGUUUCUUUCUUUGCCCAUUGCCCAAAAAAGCUCGGUUACGUGCCACCGCGGCGACUGUCAUCGUCGAUAUUAGCCAUCUCUCGGCAAAGUCACCUCUCGCGAGUUUUCGACGCGACACGCACCGCGCGCGACGAGAUUUUCCACGUGUCACUGGGUCACUGCACUUGCUGUUCUGCGCGGCAACGUGAAUACAGAUCGCUCUUUAAAUAUCAGAGUACCGCGAAACCUCCGUGUUCGCCCCGCGGUCUCUAAAGUUCAGCCAGGAACGUAACGACUUGACGGAAAUACUCGAACGACAAGUUCGUCGAGAGAUCGAUGGUGGAAGGAACAGACUGGCUGAUUUUUAAAUCGAUCGAUUUAGACUGAUUGGCGAGUGGUUACAGCCGGAGUCCGUGCAAAUGUUUCGAAAACGAUACUUUCUCGUUGAGUCACUUCAACUAUGGCUGAUAUGCUUGAUCGUUCUAACGUACUGGUCGGGACGACAGAUUGUUACAAUAGCCUUCGCUAUGUAAUUACACGCUGUCUUGUCUCACCCGAAUUACAGCAAAUUAUAUAAUUCGAGGGUCGGGGUCCGGACGAGUGGAAACACGCGGACGCGGCUCGCGAAACCGAUGAACGUCAAACGUACGGGUUAGUUUACCGUUCCACUCGAAACGAGCCAGACAGCUAUGCAUUUUCGUGAGAAGCCUCGCGGCACCGUCGGCGCAUCGUUGCGAAAAAUCAUUCCCGCGUUGAAGGUGGUUUUCUACCUCCGUCUCUGUCCGUCUCCUAUCCGCUUCCCUGUCGCCCAAUGCGAAACGAGUUUCCAACACGAUUCAAUGCCUCGGUCUUGCAAAUGUGAAAGUACAUUACUACGGGCUCUGAAAGUCGUUUUGCUCGAAGGUUUGCCUCUCGAGCGGCCCUGGACCGUUCACCGAGAAAAGAAUCGGCGAGUGAGGACGAGGCAUACCACCGUCUGGGCGAAAAAUCGCCGAGGAAUAUGUACCAAAUCUAACUCGUCGAUUAACAAGUCGAGGAAAUUGUGCUCGCGCGACCAUCGUGCCAUCGUGCCAUCGGUGAGUGGCAUUCGUUCAAUAGAAUCUUUCUCCAUGUUAGGGCUAACCCAUCGAUACGUCAAUCUUUCCUCCUGACCGCGAUUUUCCCUUAUAAAAUCCUCUUACCCCAGGUAAAAACCUUCUCGACGUGUAUCGCGUAGAAUUUAUUGAACUCGAGGGAAAAUAUAUCUACGAAAUCCAAGCGGGGAGCCGUUGAACACCCGGCCGAAUCCUCUGAUACAUCUCUUUGUCCACCAGCCUCUAUUCUUAUCUCUCCUGCUCGGCGAAGAUAAUUUCGUCGAGAGUUAACGGCUCCCUCUUAACAAUUUUUAUAUUGUUGAAAUCGCUUCUUCGAGUGGCGAUGUUUCCGAAAUAGAAAGAGGAUCGUCGACUUCACCAGGUAGAGAACGUUUUGUUUUAAAUUGUCCGCUCGACGUGAAUUGCACGUAUCUCGCGAGAUACGUCGUUUUCGAUUUGGAAGCGACAGAAUGCUGAGAAAUUUCUUAGCGAAAAGCUGAUCCAACAGUCCCGAGAGACCAAGACGACGAUAGCGAUGAAAGAGGAAUCGUUUCGUUUCAUUUAAUUUCGAUUAACUUCGCGUCGACCUCGGCAAAUAUUUAUGACGCCACAGUGCGUCACCGGAAAAACACUCGAGCGUAAAAAGUACCGGAGAAAAUGCGAGGCAAUGUGAGUUGCGCUCGGGAAAUGGAGGAAAUGUGCGCCGCUCGAGGAAAGUGUCUACUCGGGGUACAGUCUCCGAUCAAGACCGAGGGAAAAAAGAAAAGAAAAGAAAAAAAAGUGACGGGCAACGUGCAACGAGUAUCAAAAUUUCUUUCGUAUCGAGAUUAACGUCGCGUCGCGUUUCACGACGUUGCGCGACGUUCUCUCCUCGAGCACGGAAGAUUCAAUUAGGAAAGGCACGAUCAAUCCACCAGACGAAAAGCGUCGAAUGUUCAAACGAAUACAAGUUACUACCAUUCCGUGCAUCAUUCUCUGUCCAAUCGAUGUUGCCAUUACGUGGUACGUUUUACUUCAUCCUUUUUUUUUUUUUUAAUAAAUCAACGAAAACCAUUUUACGAGACGAAAGGUAGAGUGAAAAUUCGAGGAGAGAGUAACAGAGUCGAUCACUGUACAAUAAGAACGAUCUUAAUCCGAGCCAAAACGAACGUGAUUCGAUCGAAACGAGCGACGAGAGCGCUUUGACGAUCCGCGACGAACAAUAGCAACGAGAAGCUACCUGGGCAAAUAGAACCCGAAUUACUGGAUUCGUUGAGGCAGAGAAUAGUUCGUUUUCAAUCAAUUCAAGAAUUUCUGAUUGCGCUGACGGCUUCCGGUGUAUUGCGUUUUAAUAGAUCCUCCGAGGAUGACUGGCAACGAUUCGGCGGCGAACGCCACGCAACGGCGAAUUAUCGCCACAAUUGAUAACAAUUUGUUACCCCGUGUCCUCCAUACUGGCAGAGGGACGGGGCCAGUGAACCAGACUCUCCAGGCGCGAUAACGUCCAAUCAAUCCGAUCUAGAGAGCCAAUUUUCCAACGAUCGACCAAAUUUUCUUUUCCUCAACCGUCCAACUCGCUACGAUCAGCGACAAGAAAUAUCCACCGGCAGGUUUAAAGUCGCAUCGACAUCGAGGUCAUUGGCUGCUAUAUAGUAUGGCAUCACAUUUUGUGGUAUCGCAGUUGUGUCUAUUAAGAACUGGAGUGUUUUCUUCGGAUGAUUUUGGAAAGUCAGAGCGACGACGGAGUCUUUUUCUGCCGCUCGAAGUUUGUGCAUUCACAUGAAAUGUGUUGGGCUGUGAGAGAUUUCUGGCAUCUGUUGCAGAAGGGAGAGUCCGUGUUCUUGAUAAGCUGUUGACGAGUUACUCCGGUGUGUCCUGUUUUUAAUCGGACGAGUAUAAUUCUUUCUUUUCUGCUCAAUCCGCUUGGUUCAAGCCAUUUACUACGUUUGUGGAUCUUUGUUGAAACAACGAUUGGAAAGAUUUUACCGCGUUGUGUGGAUCGAUGCGCUAAAGGCCAAUGAGAUUAACAGUUGAUUGACAAUUAAUUAAUAAUGAAGUUAAGCAGACUUGGAGUAUCGUGCGAUAUUCAUUAAAAUCUAGUCCCCGGCGGUAUAUUUCUCUCGAUGUUUAAACCUACUUAAACCAAGGAAAACAACAACUGCUUAGUUUUAUCGCUCUGUACAGCCUGUAUGAUAAAACUUUACCAGGUAAAAAAAAAAAAAAAAAAAAAAAAAAAAGAAAGAAAAGAAAUCCCCGGGGAACUUUUAAUAAUUCAGCGUACGUAUCUUGAGAGAUGAAAAAAAAAAACAUAAUGAAUAAAGAAAAGAAUGCCAGAUAGGACAUUUUAAACUAAGGAGGGCAGCAUUGAAAGCGGCUGCACGAUCGAUACCGAGUUAAUCACAUUACCGAAGCGGUAUAUAAUUUUAUUACGGAUAAAACUGGCGCGAAUUCACUGGCUGGAUUCUUCCGGAUCGUCCAUCGGAUUUGCGCAGCCAAUCUACCAGGACGGAAACGAGUCUUAUCGGCUUCCUCGAGGCAUUGAUAUUCGCGCGUUAAUUGCGUUUGGUUAAAUGUAAAAGUGAGUUUCGGUGCAACGAACGCGUUCGAGGUCUGUCGACGUUUUAUCAAGAAUUUCUUUUGAUCGAACGAAGCGGGGACAAUUUGAUAUAGUUAAUAAACCGAGAACUGACAUUUUCAUUUUUUCUUUUUCUUUUUUAUGUCAAGCGUAAUAAAUGGCUCGCGAAAGUUUCCUCAAACAUCAUGAAUAUGAUAGUAUCUACCGAUUUGUCAGUAUUUCGUGAUAUUACUUGAAUAUUUUUUAUAACUUGAAUAUUUUCGCGAGUAUUCGUAGUUGGCAAAAAAAAAAAAAAAAAAACAACAACAAACGAAGGUAGAACGCAAUACGUACUAAUGGAACCUACGCGUACGGUGGAACAGUUGCGGAAGUGGUGACCCUGCUUGACCGAGUCGACCGGGAUCUCGAAGUACGGCUCUCCACCUGCGACCGUGGCCCGACACCGAGCCUCGACAGAGCUAGCUCGAUUCCUCGAAACGCGUGGCGUAUCUAUCCGUUUCGAAGCCGCUUCGCG